GUAGUCUCGCACAGAUGCAUAUCAAUAAGCGGAGGAAAAGAAACUAACAAGGAUUCCCCUAGUAACGGCGAGUGAAGCGGGAAGAGCUCAAAUUUGAAAUCUUAAAGGGUUUCCCUUUACGAAUUGUAGUUUAAAGAAGUGUUUUCUGUUGAGGUUUUGGUAAAAGUUCUUUGGAAUAGGACAUCAUAGAGGGUGAGAAUCCCGUAUUUGACCUUUACUUUCAACUUUAUGAUACACUUUCAAAGAGUCGGAUUGUUUGGGAAUGCAGUCCAAAAUGGGUGGUAAAUUUCAUCUAAAGCUAAAUAUUGGCGAGAGACCGAUAGCGAACAAGUACCGUGAGGGAAGGAUGAAAAGAACUUUGAAAAGAGAGUUAAACAGUACGUGAAAUUGUCAAAAGGGAAGCGUUUGACACCAGUGUUGUUUUUCUGAAAAUCAAUUAAAGAACUGUUUAUGCUAAGCUGUUUAGACUUUAUCAGCUAACUGUUUAGUUUUGAGCUUUUCUUUAAUGCACUUUUCAGUUAACAAGUCAACAUCAAUUUCUUUUGCUGUAAAAAAGCUUGAGGAAGGUGGCUUGAGAUUCGUCUUAAGUGUUUAUAGCCUCUUGCCUAUGCAGUCGGAGAGAUUGAGGUCUGCAGCGUAGAUCCUUCGGGGCUAAAUGCAUUUGUGCUAAGUUAUAGCAUUUUAUAGACAACUUGUUGACUAUGAUUUGUCUUGUAGCUUACUCGCUUAUGUUAUUUUACCUACGCUUAGGAUGUUGACAGCAGUAUAGACUGU
rnacentral:rRNA from 1 species